AUUGAACGCUGGCGGCAGGCCUAACACAUGCAAGUCGAGCGAGCGGCGGACGGGUGAGUAAUGCCUAGGAAUCUGACUGGUAGUGGGGGAUAACGUCCGGAACCGGUAGCUAAUACCGCAUACUAUCGGAUGUGCCCAGAUGGGAUUAGCGAGUAGGUGGGGUAACGGCUCACCUAGGCGACGAUCCAUAGCUGGUCUGAGAGGAUGACCAGCCAGACUGGAACUGAGACACGGUCCAGACUCCUACGGGAGGCAGCAGUGGGGAAGAUUGCACAAUGGGCGCAAGCCUGAUGCAGCCAGGCCGGGUGUAUGAAGAAGGCCUGCGGGUUGUAAAGUACUUUCAGCGAGGAGGCGUUACUCGCAGAAGAAGCACCGGCUAACUCCGUGCCAGCAGCCGCGGUAAUAC
rnacentral:rRNA from 1 species